AUACAGUACAGGCCAAAAGUUUGGACACACCUUCUCAUUCAAUGUCUUUUCUUUAUUUUUUUCUAUGACUAUUUACAUUGUAGAUUAUCACUGAAGGCCUCAAAACUAUGAAUGAACAUGUGGAAUUUUGUACUUAUAAAAAAAAGUGUAAAAUAACUGAAAACAUGUUUUAUAUUCUAGUUUCUUUAAAAUAGCCACCCUUUGCUCUUGAUGACAGAAGUAACCCUGACAAGGCACACCUGUGAAGUAAAAACCAUUUCAGGUGACUACCUCAUGAUGCUCAUUGAGAGAACAGCAAAAGUUUGCAGUGCUAUCAAAAAAGCAAAGGGUGGCUACUUUGAGGAAUCUAAAAUGUAAAACAUGUUUUCAAUUAUUUCACACUUU